rnacentral:rRNA from 1 species
CAGCAGCCACGGUAAUACAGAGGAUGCAAGCGUUAUCCGGAAUGAUUGGGCGUAAAGCGUCUGUAGGUGGCUUUUCAAGUCCGCCGUCAAAUCCCAGGGCUCAGCCCUGGACAGGCGGUGGAAACUACCAAGCUGGAGUACGGUAGGGGCAGAGGGAAUUUCCAGUGGAGCGGUGAAAUGCGUUGAGAUCGAAAAGAACACCAACAGCAAAAGCACUCUGCUGGGACGACACUGACACUAAGAGACGAAAGCUAGGGGAGCAAAUGGGAUUAGAUACCCCGGUAGUCCCUGUCUCUUAUAC